UGAGGAACAUGACCUUCGGCGGGGGAUAGCCGGCCCAACGGCCGGGUAAUACCGCGUACGACCACAUGGGGACAUCCCUGAGUGGUGAAAGCAGCAAUGCGCCGAUGGAGUGCCUCGCGGCCUAUCAGCUAGUUGGUGAGGUAACGGCUCACCAAGGCGACGACGGGUAGCUGGUCUGAGAGGAUGGCCAGCCACACUGGGACUGAGACACGGCCCAGACCUNUACGGGAG
rnacentral:rRNA from 1 species